rnacentral:rRNA from 1 species
UCUUCGGCAAUGGGGGCAACCCUGACCGAGCAACGCCGCGUGAGUGAAGAAGGUUUUCGGAUCGUAAAACUCUGUUGUUAGAGAAGAACGUUAAGUAGAGUGGAAAAUUACUUAAGUGACGGUAUCUAACCAGAAAGGGACGGCUAACUACGUGCCAGCAGCCGCGGUAAUACGUAGGUCCCAAGCGUUGUCCGGAUUUAUUGGGCGUAAAGCGAGCGCAGGUGGUUUCUUAAGUCUGAUGUAAAAGGCAGUGGCUCAACCAUUGUGUGCAUUGGAAACUGGGAGACUUAAGUGCAGGAGAGGAGAGUGGAAUUCCAUGUGUAGCGGUGAAAUGCGUAGAUAUAUGGAGGAACACCGGAGGCGAAAGCGGCUCUCUGGCCUGUAACUGACACUGAGGCUCGAAAGCGUGGGGAGCAAACAGGA